rnacentral:rRNA from 1 species
CCUACGGGAGGCUGCAGUAGGGAAUCUUCCACAAUGGACGAAAGUCUGAUGGAGCAACGCCGCGUGAGUGAAGAAGGGUUUCGGCUCGUAAAGCUCUGUUGGUAGUGAAGAAAGAUAGAGGUAGUAACUGGCCUUUAUUUGACGGUAAUUACUUAGAAAGUAACGGCUAACUACGUGCCAGCAGGCGCGGUAAUACGUAGGUGGCAAGCGUUGUCCGGUGUUGUUGGGCCGAAGGCGAGUGCAGGCGGUUCAAUAAGUCGGAUGUGAAAGCCUGCGGCUCAACCCGAGAAUGGCAACCGAAACUGUUGAACUUGAGUGAAGAAGGGGGGAGUGGAACUCUAGGUGUAGCGGUGGAAUGCGUAGAU